UUUGGUUAUGGCAUGAGGACAUCGUUCCACGUUGGAGUAUUGCUUGCUCAAAUUGGAGAACUUGCUUUUGUUCUCCUAAGCCGUGCCUCAAAUCUUCAUCUUGUUGAGGGAAAGAUGUAUCUUCUUCUUCUUGGAACAACAGCUCUUAGUCUGGUAACAACUCCUCUUUUAUUCAAAUUGAUACCUAAUGUCAUGAAUUUGGGGGUUCUAUUGCAAUGGUUUCCAUCAGAAAGCAGCAUGCAGAAUGAGGAUAGAGCUUCCAUGAUUGAAACGCAUAACAGAUUGUUGUGACCUCGCAUGUUUUACAAUCUGGACAUAUGAGGGGGUAAAGUUAAAGGCCUCAGUAAUUUGUAAAUAUAUGGGUUUCUCCUCGCUGCCAAGUCCAUGGUCGAGAUUUCAGAUGGCACGUCAGAAUUUCAGUUCCAUUAACAAUUUAGCCCAAAGUUCGCAUUCAUAUACAUAUAAUCUUCAUAUUCUUUGAAUAGUGUGUAUAUAUAUGUAUUUUUUUUUUAGCCCACUUAGCUGUAUUUU
rnacentral:misc_RNA from 1 species